rnacentral:lncRNA from 1 species
UCGAAAAGAAUAUUCCUUGAAGAAACAUCCCUUGUAGCUCGUCCUGGAGUACCUAUGGAUGAUAUUAAGGAAAGAAUGGUAGCACGGCUGAGUCACUUAGGUAUUAAAGUUAGAAGAAUUGAAGAGGAUGAGUAUUGUGUAAUUCCAAUGGGGGGCCCUCUUCCAGUGUUACCUCAAAGAGUUGUUGGGAUUGGUGGUACAGCUGGGAUGGUGCACCCAUCGACUGGAUAUAUGGUGGCAAGGACUCUGGCUGCUGCUCCAAUUGUCGCCAAUGCAAUAGUUCAAUACUUAGGCUCUGACAGAAGCCUUUUGGGUUCAGAAUUGUCUUCAGAAGUUUGGAAAGAUUUGUGGCCAAUAGAAAGGAGACGCCAAAGAGAGUUCUUUUGUUUUGGUAUGGAUAUUCUUCUCAAGCUUGAUUUACAAGCCACCCGAAGGUUUUUUAAUGCAUUUUUCGACUUGGAACCUCGUUAUUGGCAUGGAUUCUUGUCAUCUCGGCUAUUUCUUCCAGAUCUCAUACUUUUCGGACUCUCGCUUUUUGCUCAUGCCGACAAUACUUCUAGGAUAGAGAUCAUGGCAAAAGGAACCGUUCCUUUGGUAAAGAUGAUCAACAAUUUAGUACAGGAUAAAGAAUGAGAACCCCCAAUAUCCGUUCCCUGUAUGUCAACCCAGAGGUGCGGUAUCUGUUUAUUGUUUUGACCUUUUAAGUAAAUGCAAUAUGAGUUAGCUGCAUUUUAUUGCAUCUUUUUCGAGUUUCUGCAUUCUGAGUUAGGGAUUAAGUUGACUGAAAUUAUCAUUGUACAUAACUGCGGAACAAAUGAUGUCUUUCCAUGAAGUGUAAUUUUUUGUACCAGUUAAAUCCAUUGGUAUCAUUUCAAUAAGCUGUUAGUUUCAUUUUCUCUGCUAGCUAUGUCUACUGGAUUUUCGCUACUUGUAAUGUUCAUCUUGCCUCUGUUAUCUCUAUAAAAUCCCUAGGCCUUUUUUUUUUUUUUUUUUUUUUUUGGGGCAUAAAAUGGACAGUGGUUUGUGAGCAUAUUAUCAUAUGUUAGAUUAUAGUGGUAGUUGUUAAUAUUGUCACGUCACAUAGCCCAGCAAUAUUCAUCAACAUCUAGGAUUUUUUAUACUUUGUUUUGUACUACACUCUUUGGGCUGCAGUCAUUAUGUUGCCUAUGAAACUUAUAGUGCUUGUUUGGUGAAGUACUGCAUAUUCUACUAGACGAUAUAAAAAAAGGAGAAAAGUCAUUAUAAUCUCUGUUGUUUCUAGUGUUUGGUCAUGUCUAAUACUCAUGUCAAACAUACUGUUACUCUAUUGCAUGUUAGAAUCCUUCCUAGGUCGAAUUAGUGCUUCUUUUAACUCCCAAACCUGUGUAGAAUUGCCUUGAUAUGUCGGAUAAUGUGGCAGUGAAGGCUGCAAUUUUUUUUAGGCUGUUUCAAAACUUGGUACGAGUACAAAGAAGUUUGCGACUUGCUUAGUGAGGAAAGUUACUUAAAUAUGAAUCCCUUUUAGGUGACGUACAUUGAAAACAACAAUAAAAGAACUUUGAAAAACUUUACUUUUCGACUGCCUUGUCUGUUUUAUCAUUAGCCGUCUCUAUUUCUCCUUAUGUGAAGGCUCAAACUUGCACUCACUAGUGUUCUUGCUUCAGAAUGCUUAUGUAACUCAAGAAGGCAUAUUCACAACUUCAUGUAUCUCGUGUUGGUGCACUGAAGUUCUGUGAAUUGCUAUGCCCUUGAAGCCAUGAAUAGAUUAAUACGAUAUAGCUCAGAAUAAGCCACUACUUUAUUCCCUUGAUCAUUCCUCUAUUUAUUUCAAUCAACCCCACAUGCUAGGCAAAUUGAUAUGGCCAUCUAAGCCAUAUCAAUUUGAAUGAUUUCUAUCUAAGCCAAGAUUGAAGCAAUAUUCAGCAUUCAAGCCAAUAAUUUGAUUUGAGACGUGUGUGAACCAAAGUGAGAAUUUCAGCUGUUGUACUUUCCAAGGCAGCAGCCAUAGAUCUGCCUGCAAGAACCAAUAGCAACAAAUUAAUAAAUUAAGUAUCGACCCAGACCACCAACGAAUGUCAAGUGGUUCAGGGGUGGAGGGUUGUGGCAUUGUGGUAAUUUUUCCUUUUUCUCCAUUUUCAUAAUAUGAUUUUCAUGAUUAUAGCAAUAAUCUGGUGUACAUUUGAAAACUACGGGACAACAUGGCAAGACAAUAAGCAAUAUCACACAAAAUUUGGCUGUGGUCAUAGAAUAUUUUCUUUUUAAUGUAGUAAUAUAAUUGAAAAUUGGCAUGUAAAAUGUAUAUAUUGUCUUUUUCAACACUCAGUCAACUAAACUUGUUUAGUAUUAUAAAACUCGUUACACAGUCAUACUAAUUCUGCCAUAUUUAAAUACAUUCUAGUUAUACUAAAACCAAGAAUUCUCUUCCCAAAAAAUGGCGAGAGGAUUAAACAUCUUUACCCCAGGGGUUCUGCUUCUCAGACAGACAUGUGUCCCCCUUCUCCCCUAUUGGUAGGGUGCCUGUCAUCCCCCUGAAAAAAUAGGGCCUAUGUAUCCCUAUUUGAGUAGAAUAUUUCUUACCCCAGAAUUGAAUUGGGCAUGUCAGUUCAACUAGAAAAAAUGUAACAUAUAGGGGCUGUUUGGACCCCAUUUUUUCACCCAAAAAAUUGAUUUUUUGACCGUUAUUUUACUAUUCCAACCGUCAUAUUUGACUUCUUCUCUCAUAGGUGGAUCCCACUUUUCUCCUAACAGUCAAAAAAUCAAUUCUCAAAAUCACUCCCAAACAGCCUCAUAAUUUCCAUAGGAUGAAAAUUAUAGAAAAUGGUCGUUUUAAGAAAUUUACAUGAGGGAAGGGAUGACUCUUCUCAAUAUUUUGUUAAAUAUCUUCAAGUAGAUGUUAUACAUUACAACGACAUACAAGGCGUUGUUGAAGUACACAACAAAAUCCAAAUGAACAGUAAAAAAAUAAACUUUUGCAAAUGAAGAGCUUCUCCUUGUAGGAGAUGCUUGUCUCCUUAGGAUCGUGGAAAAGCAGAAAAAUACGUCUGCCCCGUACUAAGGGCAAGCGCAAAAAUUGCAGCUAGAAAGGCAAGGACGGUCCAGGGACUGCUGAAAUGGAUGUGCAUCCAUUCAGCUAACCAAAAUCGGCAUUUAUUCCUGCAAUGCUUUUCAAUUUGGCCCUUAGCAUGUGCAUAUGCGCGAGGAUCUGGUACCAAACCAUUAGCUAUCUCGUUAAAGAUUGUGGCCAAGUGUCCAUCACUGCCUAGAUUGUUGACAAGAAUUCCCUUCUUUCGGAGCUCUUUAACAUCAUUGGCAUGAUCAAUGAGUGAAUCCAUUAGCCAAAUAUAUGACGUAAUGAGAGAAUCAUGGGGGCCAUUAGGACUCAUUUCAUAGGCCACUAAGUUUAAUAGCAAAGGUUUUGUUGUAUCAUCAACCACUAAAGGAGGAAGUAUCAUAGUUCCACAAACAAGGUGAUCUUUGAACGUUACAUCAGUAACACGAUGAGUUUUACUUGCUCUAAAACGAAUUCCUGCUUCUUCGAGCUCUGUUACUGAACGAUAGGAAUUCCAUUGAUCUGAUUUCUUCAUGAUUCUGUCUUCAAAGUUAUGUGGCUCCGUGAGAUGUCUCCGCAUUAGGUCUAGAAGGUGAGGGCUUCCAUCCAAUUGUAAUUCUCUUUUGUCGUUUGUUUGACCACCAAGGCAGCAUUCAUUGACAAAUUUCUUGACCGCAUCACAGUAGCUUUUAUUGACAAAUUUCUUGACGAAAUUAGUGCAUGAAGUUUUUUCAGGUGGCCUUAUGCUGGUGAAAAGGUCAAGGAAAUCCUGAAUCAACUUUAUAUUACCUCCGACCCUGAAUUUCAACAAAACUUCUAGUACUAGUAAAGGAAUUUGAUUCUCUAGCAAGAACAAGUCCCUCCACACAAAAGCACAGAGGUAACUCUUCAUUGUGGGUAGCUGAUCUUCUUCUUCUUUCGUUUCUGUCUUUGUUAAGAUGCACAUAAACUGAAGCACAAAGCAAGCAUCAAGAAACAUCAUUUUGGUGAACGAUUCGUUGUCAUAGUCUGUAGUUGAGCCUUCCUCAUAGUAUUCUCGGGCACUGUCAGCCACCUUCGCCACCUCUGCAUAUAACUGAUUGAUCGAUACUUGAUCACCACAGGCAAGGCGGAAUUGAUUUGCAUAUUUAAAUUUUAGCUUCUCUACUGCUUUGAGUUCUGGCUUUUCAUGAUGAUAAGGGCCUAUUGAAACUACAAGAGGAUCAUAACAUUUUUUGUUGGAUUCAAUCUCACGCAGCAUUAAUGGAACCUUUUCAAUUCGCUGUUUCUGUGUUGUGUCUUCAACAUAGUUCUUUAUAUUGAUUAACCAUUCAUCCUCUCUAAUUUUGUUGCAAGCAUGCAAUUGCGUCUGCACAUAUUAAUAGGUUGGAAAUUUUGGUAAAGCUUCGUGUGCGUUGAUACUAUAAUUUGAAUAAAUAAGAUAUAAUACAAUUGUAAACGGAAAUGAUACACAUGUUAAAACUUGACAAUAAAUGAACUUGCUAACGUCAUCAAUCAACCAACAUCACGCAACUAUCAGUAGCAUAUAGGCCAUUGAAAUGGAGAUUUUAUGACAGGACGGUGAGAGUCGAACAAAAUAAAAUUUUUAGCCUUUCAUUAUUAAAGAAUUAAUAAAACUUUGGUUUCCUAUCAAGUAUUGAUACCACACUAAAUUAUAUACAUUAUAAAAUUGAUGCCUAGUAUUUUACCAUAUCAAAAUGAUUCAGCCGAAUGUUUGCAAAGCUUUUGGUGCGUUUGAUUGUGAGCAUGAAAUUUGUAUAAAAUAAUAAAUUCUAAGCAAUUAACUUAUUUGCAUGAGAAUUAUUAAUUAAAUGUAUUUGAUUAAUUUAGUUUUUAACCUAAAAAAAUUAUACCUGUCCAUUUUUUAUUAAUAGGUAGAUGAGAGAGGGGAUAGAUGAGAGAGAGAGUGAGAAUGAAUUAUCUGGAAAAUAAAAAUUAUCCAUCCUUAUAGAAAAUAUUUUCCCUUUUUUUAAGAAAAUAGGAUCACAUGAGUAAUGACUAAAAGUUGGAAAAUAUUUUUCAUGAAAAAAUUGUCAAUCAAACAUUCUAAAAGUAGAAAUUUGAGUGAAAAAAUGAUAUUUUUCAUGAAAAAUAAAGUCAAUCAAACACACUCUUAGAUUAUCUUUAUUAUAUUUGUUAAACAUGCUUUUAAAUCACACAUUUUAUAGGAUAUAUAACUUAUUAUUCUUAGAUUUGAAAAUUAAAGCCUAUUUAAUAUGCUUCUUUUUCCAUGGAAAAUGGAAAAAAAAAAAAUUAUAUUUUCUACCCAAAUGAUAUAUUUGAUGGCCAAAAUUUUUCAUGGAAUUGGCCAUGUGACCAUAUUUUCUUGGUUUUUAAAGAAUUGAUUUUCCUUUGGUUUGGGAAUUGGGUUUUUCUAGUUUUUUUUUUUUUUUUUUUUGUUUUUUGAAAAAAAUUUUUUUCACGGAAGUCUCAUAGGUAAACAACGCACACUUUUAACUACAGAUUUUCUGGGGAUCACACUGUAAAACCUAUGAAAUUUUUGUGGAUAGUGACCUACAUUUUUACCUUCGAAAAAUUCAUAGGAAAAGAUUACCUAACCUUUUUUUUUUUAAUGAAUCCCAAAUNNNNNNNNNNNNNNNNNNNNNNNNNNNNNNNNNNNNNNNNNNNNNNNNNNNNNNNNNNNNNNNNNNNNNNNNNNNNNNNNNNNNNNNNNNNNNNNNNNNNNNNNNNNNNNNNNNNNNNNNNNNNNNNNNNNNNNNNNNNNNNNNUUUUUUUUUUUUUUUUUUUGGACAUUGGAAACAAAUUCUAUCUACAACUAUAACAAAUUUUAUCUCUUUAAUUGAAAAUUUUCAUGAAAAACAAAGUCAAAUAGAUACAAAAAUAUUCAAAAUUUUAGUAUUUUUCAGAUGAAAAAUUAUAUUAAUCAAACACAUUUAAUUAACAAUUCUUACUAAAAUAAGUCCUAAACAAUUCAAUUCCGUAUAUUUUUUUAGAUGUGUCGAUGGUCGCCCAAUUCACUGAGAAGAUGAUGUGGCUUAGCCCUAUAGGAGCACUCCACUCUGUAUAGUUUCUUUUUUUCAUGGGGUUCGCUCAACUACUGGGCCCCAUGCACGAGAAUCAACCUGGCCUAUCGGUUCAGAUGGUACAGCUAGUGACUGGCCCGUUCUACGCAUGUGCUGGUUCUUGUGCAGAGCCUUCAACGAGCCAAGCAGUUUAGGGCUAGCUCAUCCAAUACGACAUAUCUGUAUCUUUAUAUUGAAUAACCUUUAAAUGUUUAUAAGAAUUGUCUAUUAUAUACCGGAAACAAUGGGUUGAGUAGGGAAAGCUAAAGUUUCCACUUGGGGUGGACUAAAAAUUUUUUGGGCUGCCCUUUUUACCAUGCCUUACUCAUAUUAAGAUUUGAGGUUCUAAAUUAAAAGAUCACCUUAUUAAGAGAAGUAGUCUAAACUCUUAUAAAUUGGUCUUUGUCUUCAUAUUUAUUAAAUGUGGGAUUAUAUCCCUUAAUAUACCCUUGCAAGAGGGUUGCUUUUUUUAGCGGAUCGAUUUUGAAAUACAUUUGCUCAUUUUUUGAGUCUUAAUUGAAUCGAAUAGCUUUUAGAGUUUAAUGAGCUCUAAUACCAUAUUAAAACUUGAGGUACCAUCUUAAAAGAUUAACUUUGUUAAGAGGAAUAGCACAAACCUUUAUAAAUUAGUUUUUUUCAUCUUUAUUCGAUGUGAAAUUAUAUCCCUUAAUAAUUGGACUAUCUAUCAACUAAAUUCAUUAACCUACAAAUGUAUACAAUCUAUCACAUUGAAGAAUUUAUGCGAAUAAAUUCGAGUUUUGGUGGAAAAUCAUGGCAUAUAUGAGAUUACAAUGAAAUUAGAUUUAGAACUUGACGAGAGUAUUUUAAUCCCUAUAUAUUAUUUUCUCGUUUAACUUAAUUUUAUAUCCAAGCCUCUCUUGAAAGAAUAGUUUAUGAUUACUUUUUAUGUAACAAAAGACUAUUUAAUAAGCAGUGAUGAUUAACAACAAUUUAUGUGGCUAUAUUAACAAUCCGACAUUAUGAGAAGAAAUAUAAUGUAAAAAAAUAAAAUAACAAACAUUUAAGAAAAAUGUUACCAUUCGAGCCCAAGGUAAGCCUUCCAUUUUUAUGUUGUCCAUAGGCUUGGGAAAUUUAGUGUUGGAGUACUAAGAAAAAUAUGUUUUGUUGUUGCAUGGCAUAUGAAACAUAGUCUUGUAUUUAUACCUCUCAAAAGAAGGGAAUCUCUUAGACAAAAUUAAUUUUGUAAAUCACUUAAGAAAACUUUCUACUUAAUUUUGAGCAAAUUAUAAGCAUGGAAUAAUUUUACAUAGUAAAGAUUAUACUUAAAAGAAGAUUCUCUAGCAGGAACAAAUACCUCCACACAAAAAGCACUGAGGUACUCGAGCAUCGAAAAUGAAAAAGUCAAUAGUUUAGGUGUGGCUGCAACAUCUUAAAUUUUCGCCAAAAAUUCACUUUAUUUUCACGAUAAAUGCAGAAUAGACACAAAUAAAAGUAAUUCCUUUAUUCUCAACCAUAAAUAUUAGUUAAAACGUAGAAUCUGAGUUUCUAAAAAAAUUUAAACAUAAUUAGUUGACUAAUUAAUAAAUGUGCCCUUGAACAAAUAAAAAUUGCUAAUAAAAUGCGAAAUUAAAAAAAAAGUUAAUGUUUUUAUUUCUUUAAAUACUCGACAGUCCACAUCACGAUCUUGCCAUAGUUUCAAUCAACUCGAAUUAUUAAUCUUAAAAAUUAUUUCAAGAGUGAAUAUUUAAAAAUACUCAGUAAGACAUAUGAGGUUUUCAUAGACAAUUAUAUGACAAUAAAAUAAACACUUAAUACUACAUUUUUCUUAUAGAGUAUAUUGGCAACCAAAUGAGAUACCCAUCACUAAUCAUUCUGAAUUCUCGAAGAAUUUCACAUUUCACUACCAAGAGCCCAAUAUAAUUUACACUUCGUUAGUUCGAACUUGAAGGUCCACUAGCAAUUCAUGCAUAAAUUACUGAAUAUAAAAGCAUACGGAAACAAAUCACUUGCACAAAAAUAUCUUACCUCGUUAAAUCAAAUGAUUUUUUGAAACAAAAUAAUAUGAUUGCACAUCCAAAUUUUUUUCUAACUUGGCUGUUGAUUUUAAAAACUUCUUGCUGCCAUAUAUAUAUAUAUAUAUAUAUAUAUUAAUAUUAAUGGUGAAAUAAUGGAAUUACAUAUAAUAACUAUAGUUGAAAUCAAUAUUCACAGCCCCCAUUUGAUUCUCAUUCUUUAGCCACAAAAAUGAAAAAUAUGAUCGUUAUCCAUCACAUCAAUCUACCAUAUUUGACUUUCUAUUUCUUGUGUGGGUCCUGUAACGAUUAUAUUUUUUAUUCUCAUUCUUAGAAAAAUGGGAAUCAAACGAAUUUUGGUUCAAUUGGAAAGAGGAGUCGUGUACCCCAAGUUGUUUUGGAUAAUAUUGAGUUUAAUUAGUAGAAUUAGUAUUUAGUCAAAAUAAUGAUUUCUUAGUUAAACAGAUGCACGUUCACUGCUAGGAAAAGAAAGGAAUUGGCUUAUUAGUGAUAAGCUUAAACCGUUUAUAUAAUUACAUUAGGAUUGAAUUAUCGAAGUUUAGCCUAAUCAUAACUAAGGAUGAAAAUAUCACUUAAACUAAACUAAAUCAAAUCAAAUUCGGCCAAUCCACCGACUAAUUCCUAGACAAUUCUAUUUGUUCUUUAAAAAAUAAAUAAAUUAAGCUAGUCAUCUUUUAUUGGCUUUAACUUAGUUCGAACUUAAUCAAAAUAACUUUAUCUAGAGCAUAAUAUAUAUAAUUUAAUACGAGCUAUCAAAUUAGCCCCAUAUCAAAAUACUUAUCAUCGCUCUAGCAAUACGUAAUUAUUUGACCCCAAAAAUAUAAGAAUUUAAAAUAUAUUUCAUUUUAAUCCCUCAAUUUCAAAAUAUAAAUAUGUAGUACAUAGAACAAAUAAAUUUUAUUCUAUAAAAUUUUCGGGGCGUUAUUGUGGCAAUCGAGUUUCAGUUUUGGCCCAUAGUACCCUUUCGAAAAUAGAACGACGAAAUGAGUAGAACUCAAGAUUAUACUGUGAUAUACGAUGGACUUUGACCAUCCGAAUUCGUUUAAUACUCAAACUGUUUUUAAAGUUUUACUUUUAUUUUUGUCAUUUAGUGAGUGACCGUACCAUAGUUUAUAUAGAAAUAAUUUUUAUUCAUGGAAGAAUUGGGCAUAUCUAUGUGCCCUUUAGCUUAGCAGGACUGCUUCUUUGUUUUAUUUCGAAUUCUUUGCAAUUUUAAUUUGUUUAAACUAGAUUUUCAUGUAAACUCUCAUAAAUAAAAAGUUAAUUCAUCGUUUUUUUAUCAUCUUACAUUAAUAUAAUUUAUUGAGUUUAUUUUUCUCUAAUUUGGUGAAUUCCAAAAUUGUGUACUUAAGGUUUUAGCUUGAAUUCCUUAUUUCACGCCGCGUCAGAGCUUAAAAUACAUUAUUUUGGUAACUUUCUAGUAGAUUUCACGAGAAAUUGUAACACGAUCGUAGAACUGUUGGAUGAAUUUUGUGAAUAGUGACGCCGAAAUAAGUAUAAUGAUGGUGACGAAGUCGAGGCAAGAGUUGGACUCUUUGUCUUUAAGUCGAAUUUGCCCCGCAACGGUGCCUACGGAUUUCGGCAAUCGACUCCCAAGAUACAACGGCUACACUUGUAUUUGUAGCACUCCAAAACACAAGUACAAUGAACCAAAUUUAGGCUUAUGUACUCCAAGGAUGAAAUGAAAGAAAAUCAAAAUAAAUGAAAUGAUUUUGAUUUUGGAUAGAAGAGAGGAUGAGAGACGUUUUGCAUAUCAAAUUAUGUGGAAUAAGACACCCAAAGGGUCCUAUUUAUAGACCAUGAAAGGGUGUGGACGAAAUGGUUGAGGUCAAACCAUGCACCCUUUCCAAACAAUGCACCUUUAUGAAAAUGUGUCUAUUCACUAAUGGUUGAGGCCAAACCAUACACCCUUUCCAAAUAAUGCACCUUUAUGGAAAGGUGUCUAUUAACUGAUUUUCGUCCUUUUUCGUAAUUUCUCAUUCAUCCGAUAUUGGUUUUCGAAAUGCCAAAUAUACCCUUCAAUACAUGCAGAGAAAUCAAAAUUCUCUUUCGGGGGCGUUGCCCCCGACCCCCCACAGGGGGCGCUGCCCUCUCGACUCCCGCGACCUGACCGGUCAGGUCGAUCCCCGUUUGUGCGCCCCAAAGCGGCGAAGUGGCAAACAAUUUUGCCUAAACGGAUUGAGUCGAGCUUUUGAAUAUUUGGCAAACAAUUUUUGCCUAAACGGAUUGAGUCGAGUUUUUGAGUAUUUGGCCGAAGUCGAUACGAACUUUAAUCGAUCUUUAAUCUAUUUUCAAUUCUCGAUUUAUUUAACCAAUAUCCAACAAGAACAAAGGUCAAUAAUUAGAGUUUGAAUGAGCAUAUAAGUUCCAUUACACAUUGUAUAAAAGAAUGAUUGACUUGAUUUCUCGAUGAGUUUCAGUACAAUAAUAAAGUUUGACUUGAUCAUUGGAAAAUAUUAAGGUGUUUGCAAAAAUCUCUUGUUAAGAUUUUAACUUCACUAUUUGAAAGUUCCAUCAUAAAAUCUUCUGCUCAAUAUAAUUGAUUACAAUAAUAUUAUAAAUUUUUACAAGUAACACAUGUGAAUCCUACUGUUGCGUACAACACAAAUUGAACUAUUUUAAACAACUUUAACAAGCUUAGAAUUGUACUAUGAUUUGUUCCCACCGGCUGCUUUUUUGCAACAUCACAAGUUUGGAAUAUUAACAUGCUAAACACGAGGAAUCAAACACAGUAGACACACCAAGCAAGGUGUGAAAACUGCAAGUUAUUAUAAUAUCUCGAUAGACUAUGGUUUUUUUUUUUCAUUAUAGCAUUUUGUCAAGAUUAUAUAAAAUCAAGAUCUACAAGAAUGAAAUUUUCAUUUAUCAAGUUGUGGAGGUUAUUUUCAACGACUCACAUAAUUAGUGAAGUGAAGUAAACAAUAUUAAUUAUCUCCGUUUGUGGGGAUUAAAAUUAGAUUUUCUGUAGAUUUUAAUAAAAGUUGAUAAUAUAUGUGGUUGAAAAGAUGUGAUCUCAUAUAAAUAUGUUAUUAAAAUUAAUUGCUAAUUUUGACUUAGCCCUUAUUUGAUGAUCAUUAUUUGGCAAAAAUAAAGUUUUUAAUAAUGAAUUCUUGAAGGAUUUGUAAUUAAAAAGUAAGAAAACAAUUGAAUUUAUGUGCAAAAGUUAUUUUAUUUAAAGAAUAUAUGAUUGAAAAUAAGUAUAAAAAAACUGAGAUUUUUGAUAUUGAUACAAUAAAAUAUUCAGCAUGUAAAUUUAAAUUUCUUUUCCUACUUUUUAAUCAUACAUUCUAAAAAAUUUACUAUUAUAAAACCUAUUAUCCCAAAAAAUGGGGCUUAAACAUGGGGCAUAAUUUUAAUAUAUAUUGUUUAAUAAUAUUUAGUACUUUACACCAACCAUGUUGUGCUAAAAUUCCAUAAGUACAUGGCAGUAUAAACAAGUAAUAAAGUUGAUCUAAGAGUUCAAAUAAUUAUUUUUAUGAAGACUGCAUAUUUCGCUUAAUAUUAGGGAAAAUUGCAGUCGAGGUACCAAACCUUUCGUUUAUUAGCAGAUUUUGCCUAAACUUUUAGUUUGUGCCACCGGAGGUACCAAACCUUUCAAAAAUAUGCAUCGGAGGUUCAAAUAGAUAGAAACCGUCCCUUUGACCAUUAGUUGACCAAGAAAAGUAAAUGUUGACCUAUUUUGACCAAUUGAAAAUGGUAAAAAGGUAAAAGUUACUUAAUCCUAUAAUAAAACAAUUAAAAUAAAUAACUAAAACAUAAAAAAAAUAUUACUAUUCAUCUUCUUCUUCUUCACCCACCCCACCCCCACCCACACGCCACCCUACGCCACGCCAUCCAAAACCAAAAACAGAAAUUAAACAGCCGCCUUCUUCUUCAACCUCCCCACGCCACCCCACCCCACUGGCUCCUGCCUAGUUAGCAAUUCAAGAAUCACAACCCCAAAUGCGUAAACGUCAGAUUUCUGGGUAGCGAUCCCAGUGGCCUUGAACUCCGGCGAGUGUACCCUCUUACACCCUCAAAUUGCUUCUCCGACUUCAACUCUGGAAGUCGCGACCGGUCCUCCUCCCUCUUACACCCUCAAACUUGUCGAAAGCAUGGUAAAAUGGGGAUUUCUAGGGUUCCUCAAGCACAAGCUCAAAUCUGAUCCGGAUACAAAAUCGUAGACUAGGUAAAUAUGCUCACCGGAAAUUGAAACGCCAAGUAGUUUGACUAUGCUCAUGUAGUGGCUUUUGCUAGUCACCAACAGCUUCUCUUUAACAUUGGAGGUUGGGGGUAGGGUGGCGUGCGGGGGGGGGAGGUUGUGGGUGAAGAAGGAGAUGAAUAAUAUUUUUUAUUUUUAUGUUUUAGUUAUUUAUUUUAAUUGUUUUAUUAUAGGGUUAAAUAACUUUUACCUUUUUAUCCUUUUCAAUUGGUCAAUGUUUAAUCUUAUUGGUCAACUGACGGUCAAACGGACGAUUUCCAUCCAUUUGAACCUCUGGUGCAUAUUUUUGAAAGGUUUGGUACCUCCGAUGACACAAAUUAAAGGUUUGGGCAAAGUUUGCUAAUAAACGAAAUGUUUGGUACCUCGACUGCAAUUUUUCCCUUAAUAUUAAGAGAUCAUCACGUAAAUCCUCCAUUUAAAAAUCAUAUUUCAAAACUAACAAACUGCCAAAAUCUUUUAAAAAUCAAGUGAUAAUUACAUUUAUUAAAUAUUUAAUUAUAAUAUAGUAUAAUUAAUUUACUUAUCCCACCUCACCUCCAACCCACCCACGCAUUACAUCAAACCCUUCUCUUUUUCUCUCCACCCCACCCCACCUCCGGCAACAAUUUCGACGACCUCUCCGGUGAACAUUCCGAUAACCUCCCGACAAUGGCUCCAAUGAUCGUUUUGGCGACUAUUCCAACGACUGCUCACAUUUUCGACGACUACCUUUUUUCUUCUUUUUUGGCAAUGACCUAUAAUUAGUUCCAUUAGAUCUGUGACAUGUGCACAUAGCGAUCUGUGACCAGUUCUGUUUAAUCUAUGACCCAAUUAGGUGGGAUUAAUAUGCAUGUGAUCAAUUUCAAAAAAAAAAUAAUAAUAAUAAUAAAGUUUGAAAUUUCUAAAAUCAAAUAUUAUUAAAAUUUUAGUUAUGAAAUAAUUAAUCAAAAACAUAUUUUUGUAAUUAAAUAUAUUAAGUUCACAAUUUUUUUUAUGGGCAAUAACCUAUGACUUGUGUACAUUGUGAUAUAUAAAAUAUUAUUUUUAAAUUGUGAUUCGUUACCUAUGACUUGUAACAUAAAAUGUGACCUAUAAAUUUGAUACGUGACUUCUACAAAACAACAUGUGACAUGUUAGUAUUGAUCUGUGACCCAUUUAUACCGAUUUGUGACUUAUUUGAAAUGACUAUGACUUGUGAACUCAAACUUGUGACCAGUGAACUGUGACCUUAACAACAAAUUGUGACCCGUAACGUAUGAACUGUGAGCUUAUGUGUUCAUGACCAAAUUUGUCGUCGGUGUGACUGUCGAUGACCAUGUUAGUCUAAUUUGUGAUUAUAUAUAACCUAGUCACCUACGGUUACAAUUAAUACAAAUCUAAUUACAGGCAGUUAUAAUGAAUAUAGAUUUGGUCACUCACCACCAUUUUUAACACUGGCAAUCAAAUGUACACCAUCUCAUCAAAACCACAUGUACUACUAGCAAUGGAACCAUUGGCAUCGCACCACGUCACUACCAAUACAACCUAAUAGCAUCGCCACCAAUGCCAACACCAUGACCAAGAUAGUCACAAUUAACACAAACUUGGUCACAAAAAGUUACAAUUAACAUAAAUGGUUACUACCACCACUAGUACAGCCACUCUGUCACCAACACCGCACCACCUUCGUUUAAUCCAUAUACUGCAUUUUCAAAACACUUUCCACUUCUCAUUGCCACCAUUCGUCCACACCACCACCCAUUCACCACCAUGACUAUAGCCGUACCACCACUACCACCAACAACAAACAUCACCACGCCUCAACACUACCAAACUAACAGCGCACACGCACCACCACACAACCAAACUACCAUACCCCCAUCACCCAAAACCGCACCCAUAACUAAUACUACUGUGACCACAACUAAUAGCAAACAUCGCUGCAGAACCAUCGUCACCAGAGCCAACACAACAUAGCCACCAACAUAACAUAGCCACUACCGCACCACCUCAACACCCAAUUGCCGCAACCAUAUCACACAGCACCGCACCAACAACUAACACUACCACGACCACAACCAACAACAAAUACCAAAAUAGAGCCAUCGCCACCACCAUCACAGCCAUCGCAACAAAGCCACCACCACAACAUAACCACCAUCGCACCACCACAUCACCCAACCACCGUGACCACAACCAACAGCAAACACUACAACAGAGCCGCUGUCGCUACCACCAGAGACAACGAACCACAUAUUAGAAAAUCAUCACCCCCACCACCACCAUGAGCACUACAACGUCUAUACCACCAUCUCCAGAAUUACCACCACCACAACAGUGAGUCGCCGCUUUCGAUAGCGAUGGCAUCGUCGGCAUGGCAAAGCUUCCCAUGCUACUGGAGAUGGUGAGGUGGAUCGGUUAGUGGGUAGAGAAAGAAGUUAGAUAGAAGGAAAACGGUGAGGAUGAGGGUAAACAUGAAUUCAAUUUUGGGAUAAGUAGGAUUGGGAGUGGAGUUGGGUUUGGCGAUGGUGGGGUGAGGUUAAAUUAUGAUUUUAUUAAAUAUAAUUAUUAAAACCUAAUUAUCAAAUUUUGAAAUGAAAUUUAAACUCCUUGUUUUUUUAAAUAUUAGUCUUUAAAUAUAGGUUUCUAGUUAAUUUUAAUCGAAAUAGCAAAAUUGUAUGGUGAUGGUGAUUGCAAAUAUAAAGCAUUAAACUAAUCACGAACUCGAAUUUUCCUAUAUUCUUCCAUUUUAAUAUCAACCUAAGUAAUUGACAAUUUUUAUUUAAACUCGACGAUCAAUAUUUUUUUUAUUUAAUAAUCACUCUCGAGUAACGUUAACUAUAUUCUCACAUAUAACACUUUUAUAUUUGUAUGAUGAAUGCGAAUAAAUGAAAAUGGAUUAAAGUUCAAGAACAUUCAUAAUAAGAUCAUGCAAAACAUAUUGAUAUAUCUAUAUUCUUUAUCAUACUUCACAAUGCUUGUUACUACGUACUACAAUUCCUAUUCCUUCUCUAAAAAAAAAAAAAGAAUCACGAAUCUAUUCAAUUAUGGAUCAAGUAACUGAAAGCAAUAAUAACCUAACAAUCAUUCAAGCCAAACAAGUAUUUAACAUAAAAUUGAAAUUAACAUUAAAACUUCAAAAUAUAAUGUUCAUCGUCAUCCUAUUAUCUAAUGAACUAGUCAAACAUCAUAAAAUUAUAAAAAAGCAUGUUUGGGAAUAGUAAGAUAUCACUCGAAUUUUAAUUACAAAAAGAAGAAGAAAAAUAAUCUCGAAUCUCCUCUACAAUUCUUUACUACUCUUCUUAAAUCUCCUUUUUUUUUUUCUCCCAAAAUUUGAAAAAGGUCAUGAAUUUGUGUAUAAAAUGUAUGCUUUUGUAUAAAAGCUUCUUGUUCUCAAUUAUAGGUGAAAAUAUAUAUUCAUAGUUCCAAGGUUAGGUUAGAAUUGUGCACGAAUCACAUAUUCCAUGUAGAAGUUGACUUAAAUUAGGAAACCCUUUUUUUCCUCCAACGAACGACCAUGCGAUUGUAUGGUAUAGUGACUUGUAAUCAGAUGGUAGCGUAGUAUAAACCCUGUGAUCGCAUGGUUUAAUGCUUUCCUUUCUGUUCAAGUUGGUCCCUAAAUUUUCCUAUUGGUUCAGCUCAAGUCCCUUCCUAAUUGCAUCGUGAAUUUUCAUCUUUCAAUUAUAAAACAACUUAAUCCCCAUGUUCCAUAAUUUGUUCCUUUUUAGUUGUUACAGUUGAUUACUAUCCCUUUCUUCAUAUAUCAUCCAACAUUGAAUUUUUCGUAAAAUAAUCAAUAUGCAACCAAAAUUAAGUAUCAAAGCAAUAAAAUUACUCCCGAACGUCCAUUUUCAAUUGCCAAGAUAUGUUAGACUUAUCACAAGUCAUUAAUUAGAGACGAUAUUGAACAAAAUGGGGAAUAAAUCAUUCCUUUAAAUUUAACUUGUAACGGAAAUUUUUUUGUCCUUGACAAUUUUAUUAAUGGCCUCUUUUCGAUGAAAAACCUUAUUAUUAUUAUUAUUAUUAUUAUUAUUAUUAUUAUUUUCUACCAAAUGUGUAUUUACAUAUAUUCACCUAAACAGAACCAUGAAUAAUACAUGACUAUGUUUUGUGGUUGCAAGUGUUCAAAGUAACUUCUAUACUAUAUCAGAUUAGUAGUUUCCAUUUAUUUUGAAAAGAAAAUAUUAACCUAUCCUGAUAUGUUUAAAAAUUUCGGUAGGAGUAACAGAACGACUGGCUACCUACAAACAGCACUAGUCGUGUGCAUCAUAUUACUGAAGGGUCAAUGAUAGUCACGUGUUCAUUAAGAGCUCGAAAGAUGACAACCUUUUGCCAUUAUUUGUAAAUCUACCGCAAUUUGCAACGAUGAUGAUAGGUAAUAAUUUGAGAAUAACAAAAACUACUAGUAUGUAGUUGAAGAGUAGCACUUGGAGUUGAGAAAAGUAAAAAAUGUAAAGAUACGAUGAUGCAGGAGGAUCCGAGUCAAAUGAUGCUGAUUUGUCAGAUUGCACGAUGAUGACGCUGAGAUACCAUGAGAUGGCGGAUCGGCGCAAAGAUGGAAAGUAAAUCACCAUUAUUUCCUUAAUUGGGAGAUUUUGACGCGUUUUUGGUAAUUUGGCCAUAACUUUGGCUACGGUUAUCGGAAUCGCUAUUAUGACCCCAAUUCGGAAAGCUCUCUUUGGUAAUUUGGCCAUAACUUUGGCUCGGUGGACGUCAAUUUCAAACCCAAAAUCCACUGUUUUCCUUUCCAAAAUUCAAUUUUAAGUUAUUUUUUACUAUUUAUGGUAAUAUUUAGUUUCCUUUUUUCUAUAUGUUAGAGAACUCGAAUUAAGCCAAAUUUUUGGCGACUUACUUCUUUUACUUAAUAUUUUAUUUUGGUAUAAUUUCGGGAUUUUGCCAUUUUUGGUAAUUUUUCAAUAAUUUCGUAUUUCGCAGCUAUUUAACCCGGUUUGUGGGUUAGUUUUCAGCAUUCUGCAUUAUUAAUAAUAUUGAGUUGAAUUCAGAGUAUUUUCCCUGUUUUUUGGGCAUUUUCUAUCGUUCUUUUCUUGCGAAUCAUCUGCUACAACAAGCCAAUAGGAUAAUCACUAUCCUACCCGGCGUCAUACGAUGAUAGAAUUUUUAAAUAAUAUUACGCACUAAUCCAACGACCCAAUACUAUGGCUGGAUUCAUGACUGAAUCGAUUCUCAUAACUAUGCAUAAGUUAAUAUAAUACGAUGGACGAAUGAAUGUCCCAUGAGGGAUACUCUUCUUGUAACGUGUAAAAAGUAAAUUCAAGUUGCAAAACCAGCUUUGCUUUUUGUUUUUAUGAUGCACGGCCCAUUGACAUUUGUUGGUGAUGAUAAGAUGCCAAGUCCAAGUCUCCUAUUUUUCUUAGCCAACUUAGGGUUCAUUUGAUUGCAAAGAUACGAUUUGGAUGGAAAGAAAAAGAAUUUCAGGGAAUUGAAUUGAUGGGAAAUUGUUUUCUUGGGAAUUAUAAAUUAGGGUGUGUGAUUACAUUUAUUUUCCAUGGAAAAUAUCAGUUUUCCACGCAAAUUCCUAUUUAGAGUCUGUUUGAUUGCGAAGAUGGAAUUUGGGUGGAAAGAAAAUGAAUUCUAGGGAAUUGAAUUACCUAGAAAUUGUUUUCCACGGAAUUGUAAAUUAUUUUGUUUGAUUGGUAUAAUUUUCUACGUAGAAAAUGUUGAAGUAAAAGUGUUUUUGGUGUUCGUUUAGCUUUGUUUUACAUGAAAAUUGUCAAUUUCAGGGAUAUCCUCUUUUACAAUUAUUCCUAAAAUUUGUUCCCAUUGCCAACAAUUAAAAAAAAGGACAAAAAGCAAAAAAAAAAAAAAAAAAAGGUGGAAAACCAAAAACCACCUAUCCCCUAGGAAAAUAAAAGAUGGAAAAUCACGCUUUAAGGUGUUGUACCUAGAUAUUCAUGGAAAAUCAAUUCCCUGAAAAAUUUUGUCAAUCAAGCAGGCUAAAAGUGGAAGUUGGAAUUCGAAUUCCAAGUUCCAUGGAAAAUUUCAUGCAAUCAAACGGGGUCUUAGAGUGUUUGAAUGCUAUUUUUUCCAUGGAAAACAUUUUCCAACUUUUGAAAAUAUGUCUAAUUUUCCUUAUUUUUAAGGAAAACAUUUUCUUUGGGUAGAGGUUGUUUUUAUUUUCCACAAAAGAUGAAAAAUAUUUUCUUUUCUAGGUGAUAUUUUCCUUGUCAAUCAAACACACUCUUAUUGUAUUUGAUUGGUAUAAUUUUCCACGUGAAAAAUGUUUAAAUUAAACUGUUUUUUGGGUGUUCGUUUGGUUUUGUUUUAUAUGAAAAUUUUCGAUUAAAGGAUAGAAUUUACUGGUAUUGUGGAUGAAAUUUGUUUCCAUUGCUAAAAAAAAAAAAGAAAAAAAAUUCAAGAAAAUCAUCUAUCUUUUGAUGUUCAUUUGACUUUGUUUUACAUGAAAAUUAUCAAUUAAAGGGAAAUAUUUUCUUACAAUAAUUUUUAUAAUUUAUUUUCAUUGCAAAAAAAAAAAAAAUUUGAAAAAAAAAAGUUCCGCUACAGUAAACCGUAAUUGGAAUUCUCACCAAAAAUGGUGAGAAUUCCAAUUCAAGGAAAAGUGGGAAAAUUGCUUAGGUGGCAAGAAUCAUGGAAAAUGAAUUCCCUAGAAUUUUUUACCUAUCAAACACUCAUUUUUGGCAAAAGGUGAAAAUGAAUUUCCAUUUUCCAUGGAAUUGAAGGUUAUCAAACACUACCUUAGUUCAAAUUGUUUACUAAGCCCUCGUUUGGUACCCAUUUUUUUCAAAAUUCAUUUUUUCCUCUUUUCAUUUCAACCAUAUAUUCUUUAUUAAAAUAAUAUUAUACGUAAAUCAAAAAAUUUUCCUUAUUUUUCAACCACACACUUCUAAUCAAGUUAUUAUUCUAAAAUACAUUUAUACAUAAAAAUGGCUCUCAAACACCCCCUAACUCAAACUUUGUAUAAAUACCGUUCAGCAUUAUUUAUUUAUUUUUUAAUAGUUUACGAAAUGGUAGAGUCAAAAUAUUUCCAACGUUGAAACUCUUUAUGUCUUUUGUGUUUGUUGAAAUGUGCAAACAAAGUGUUGUAAGACUAGUUGACUAGCCUGAAAAAUAUCAAAGAUUGGUUGGCUGAAGACACUUCGAUGCUUAAGUUAAUUUUAUUUAUGUAGAAAAAUGUAUAAUCAAGUUGAGUUUUAGUAAAUUGUGUCCUCAAGUUUAUAAAAGAUUGGAGUUUCUGAACUAAGAAAAUGAGUCAGUAGGAUCUAUGUGUCGAGCAAUUGAGACAUUGAGUUUUACACUAAUAAUUUUAAGCUUCGUCGACGGUUUUAGAACAAACAUUGUCCAUCUCAGUAACAUGAAAUGUGUGAAAAAUAUAUCAUUAAGUUUGAGUUUUAUUUUAAUCAGCUUUUUAUAACUGAACCAAAGUGGGGCUAUAAUGUUGUGCGAAAAUAAAAUAAUGUCGGAAAAAAAAAAAAACAAUUAUCUUGUAAAUCGAGGUACGCCAAUGCCGGAAGGGAAAUUGAACACGCCCAUCUCACUAGGAUUGGUCAAACUUGAAGAAGCUUCUCGGUUCAUGCCUUUUUACCUUGCAUCACCUGGUAGAAACUAUAUAAUCCUUGUCGAUCAUUGAAAUAUAUGUAGAGAGAGAGAGAGAGAGAGGGAAUUGGCAGAUUUGUUUAUUGAGCAGGCAAAGCAAUUUUCAGAGACAAGGCCCAGUUAUCCACAGGAAUUGUUCCAAUUCAUUGCAACAAAAACUCCAUCUCACGAUCUCGUUUGGGAUGUUGGCACUGGAAGUGGCCAGGCUGCAGCAUCUGUGAGUCUUUCUCCUCGAACUGCACAAUUUUGAGCUAAUUUUGUGUUUUUCUUCACAAAUUAUGAUCCGGGACUUAGGUUUUAAGCCCUAAUCUCAAUUACGCGAUAUGAUAGUAAAAAUCUCGAUUUCAUUGUGUAUUGUAGUAGAAGAAGAGACACUUCAAGUGGGUUCAGAAUUUAUUUAAAGAAUUACGACUCAGUUUAAUUAUAUAUCGACUUAAUAUGAAGCUCUGCAUUGUUUUUCAGUUAGCAAAGGUCUACAAGAAUGUGGUGGGCACAGACACAAGCCAAAAACAACUUGAUUUUGCUGCCAAUUAAAACUAUACUUGCUAAUACUUCAAGAUCGGUUUAAAAAGUCCAAAACUUGCUAUAUUUUCAAAUGCCUCACUUGCUGUGUGUGUGUGUGUGUGUGUGUGUGUAUAUAUAUAUAUAUAUAUAUAUCAUGGCAUACUUUAUAUGCAGUAUUCGACUUGACUAAAGAUAUAAAAUUUACCUAUAAAGAAAGGCAUUGUCUGAAUACCUCCUUUACGUCUAGCGAGCGGCGCAGGAGUCUUUUCCACUUCUGAAUUCUCCAUAUUUUCUCAACUGGGAAGAAAAACCCUUUUGGUUUACAAGGGAAAUGAGUUGAAGGAGAGAAGGAGAGCUCAAUUUCUACAUGCUCCAGGAAACAAGAAUAGUUUGUUUCUUCUUUUAUGGAUUAUAUGGGGUGGAACGGCUAUGCUAUUUAUUUUUCUCUUCAUUAAAUUCAUAACUAUAAUUUUUGUUUUGUAUCGUGGAGCACUAAUUGCAAAAGCCAAGGAAUAUAAUAUUAAAUAUCAAUGAAUUAUAAGAGAAUUGAUUGCCAACAUUUGUGUUUUCCCUGAACAUUAGCAUUAUGGGAAAAUCCCCCUUUUUCCAGUGAAACAUCGUCACUCGGUUCUUGAAUUUGAAACAAAACCCUAUAGCAUUUUGAUAACUAGAAGAGUAAUGAAUACUUUUCGUAGAAAGAAUUUACAAUGUAGAACAAUGUGAAAGUCAUAUCAAGACUCACAACAUCUCCAAUUUCUCCUCUCUCUCUCUCUCUCAGCGGCAAUCCUCUCUGAUGCAAAAUUGCAGAUAUCCUUCUGGUCUAAGUACAUAGGCAUUGCACAUUGCUCCUUGCAUAUUUUAAUUCAAACAUUCGAGAUGAAAUUCAAGAUUUCAGUUGGGAUUUUGGGGACGAUUGCUAGGGUUCAUGAAGUCAGGGUUCCCUUGUUUAGGCUACAUAAUAGCGUGUUAUUAUAUUGCUGGGUUUGUAGCGAUUUUGGCCCAAUUGGCCAGAUUUAAAGUUUGUACACGUGGCAUAUUCCGUUAAUUGAAGUUGGUGGAGAUUAAAUAGGUGAUGGAUAGGUAAGUAAUUGAAUAAAUGAGUGAGUAAUGAGAUAUAUUUUAUAGUUUGGUGAUCAAGUAAUAAUGUAAACUAAAGUUCAGCGAGCAUUGAUUAAAUUUACUCAUACUUAAUGUGCAUUGGAUGGAGAUUGUGAGGUGAAUUGAAUUGAUUGAAUUUUAAAAAGAUUUAGCCAUUAUUUGAGCCCCAUUUUGGGGAAAAUAAUGCAUUUUGAAUAUUAGAUUGGUGAAAAAUGUGUGAUUCAAAAUUAAGGAAUUUUUUAUUUAUUUACGUGUAAUAUUAUUUUAUUGAAGAAUGCGUGAUUGGAAAUGAGUUUUCAAAAGAAUGAAUUUUCAAAAUUUUUAUGAUAAUUUUUCUUUUAUUUUUAAUUAGUUUCUUUCCUUUUUUAAAAAAAAUCAUUUAAAGAUAGAUAAAAUUCGCCAUUUUAAGUGGUUAGAAUAGUAGAAUGACAAAUUUUGCUAUAUUUUGGAAAAUUGAGAUAUUUGGUGCAAAAAUAUAAGGUUGAUGGUAGAUAAAAGUACAAAAAUAUUUUUCUUACGUCGUGAAAUUUAGUCCAUGUUUGUUUACCAUUAUUUCAAAAUUCUUUUUUGCUCAAACUCAUUUUAAAUCACAUAUUUGCACAAUAAAAUAUUUUGUACGUAAAUUGGAAACUUUUUAUUUUUAUAUUUUUACUUUUUAAUUACACAUUCUUUAAAAAUUCACAAUUAUAAACUUAUUUUAACUGAAUAAUGAUAGACAAACAUUCUGUGAUUGCCAAUUAAAAACUUCAAGUGGAUUGUCUUGACACCACUAGGUCGGGUGCUAUGGUUUUCAUUGACGACAAAACAACUAAGGAUCUUGAUAGACCUUAUUAGAGGGUAAAUAGGAAGUAGCUAACAUCGAAAAUGAUGCAGAAAUGCAUUUCGAAUGGUGUUAAAUUUCAUCAAGCCAAGAUUGUGAAAGUAAUUUAGGAGGAAUUGAAAUCUUUGUGGAUAUGUAAUUAUGGUGUUAUUAUCUAGGUUGCUGUGGUUUUAGAUGCAACUGGAUUUUCCAGAUGUCUUGUACAGUAUGAUAAGCCAUAUAAUCCCAGCUAUCAAGUAGCCUAUAGGAUUUUGGUAGAAGUGGAAGAGCACCUUUUUGAUGUCAAUAAAAUGGUGUUCAUGGAUUUGAGCUAGGGAUGUCAACGAGCGAGUCGAGCCGACUCGCGAGCCAAAAUUUUAAGCUUAAUCUUGGCUCGAGUAAAAUGAUUGAGCUUUUUCUAGGCUCGAGUCGGACUCGGCCAGAAAAUUUAGGCUCCACCCGAGCUUUGGAGUCGAGUUGGGCAAGCUCGAUUUUGGUGUUUUUUCCCCUAUUUUAUCUAUGAAGAAGGCAGCCCUUAAAAAUAAUUUUUUUUGUAUUUUUUUUAAAUAUAGGCUUGUGAGCCCAAGCCGACAAGCCAUACGGGUCGGCUCGGGCUUUGCCUCGCACCCUAAAAUGGGGUUCGGCCCAAGCCUUGGCUUGAAUCUUCCGAACUUCGAGCCGAGCGAGCUCAACCUUUUUCAAGUCGAGCCACGAGUGGCCCGAGCCGACGAGCCAUAUUGCCAUCCCUAAUUGGCGCGACUUAUACCUCAACAAUAAUAAAGAGCUGAAGGAGAGAUAGUAAGAUUCCAACUUUUCUCUAUGCGAUGCCAUUUUCAUCGAAGAGAAUAUUCCUUGAAGAUACAUCCCUUGUAGCUCGUCCUGGAGUGCUUAUGGAUGAUAUUAAGGAAAGAAUGGUAGCUCAGCUGAGUCACUUAGUUAUUAAAGUUAGGAAUAUUAAAGAGGAUGAGCAUUGUGUAAUUCCAAUGGGGGCCCUCUUCCAGUGUUACCUCAAAGAGUUGUUGGGAUUGGCGGUACAGCUGGGAUGGUGCACCCAUCGACUGGAUAUAUGGUGGCAAGGACUCUGGCUGCUGCUCCAAUUGUCGCCAAUGCAAUAGUUCAAUACUUAGGCUUUGAGAGAAGCCUUUUGGGUUUGGAAUUGUCUUCAGAAGUUUGGAAAGAUUUGUAGCCA